rnacentral:lncRNA from 1 species
UGGGCAUAUAUUACUAUUAGCUUUUAUUUCUUUAUUUUUUACUAGAUAUUUUGCUACAUAAUUUUUUUCUUGUCCUAUGUUUAAGAUUAUUAAAUAUUUUUUUUCAUUUAUUGUUACCGUUAUAUAAUAUUAAUUUAAAUUAACUGUUGAAGUUGUUUCAUAACUUGUUCUUUUUUAUGAACUUGAUGAUUCUGAUUUUUCGUGAGCUAUUCUUUUUGAUGUACUUAUCCUAUCAUUUAUUA